rnacentral:rRNA from 1 species
UACGGAGGGUGCGAGCGUUGUCCGGAAUCAUUGGGCGUAAAGGGCGCGUAGGUGGCGCGGCAAGCGUGCGGUGAAAGCUCGGGGCUCAACCCCGAGUCGGCCGUGCGAACUGCUGUGCUUGAGCACUGUAGAGGCAGGCGGAAUUCCGGGUGUAGCGGUGGAAUGCGUAGAGAUCCGGAAGAACACCGGUGGCGAAGGCGGCCUGCUGGGCAGGUGGCUGGACACUGAGGCGCGACAGCGUGGGGAGCAAACAGG